GUGCUCACUUCAGCAGCACAUAUACUAAAACUGGAAGAUUAGCAUGGUCCCUGUGCAAGGAUGACAUGAAAAUUCGUGAAGCAUUUCAUAUUAAA
ensembl:snRNA U6 U6 spliceosomal RNA